CCGGGGCAGGCGAGGCUCCGAGGACAGCAGGCAGCUGGCCGUAGGUGGAGCCUGGGCCCGCAGGGAGCCCACGGCCACCUCAUACUCCAAGCCACGCCCUGCGCCCCCGUUGGCUCUUCCCCAAAGCCGUCCACCCAUUCUGCUCCUGCACCCACGCAGCUGCAUGUGGCUGAGGACAAGGUACAUCAGAUGACUGGCCUCACUCCAAGGUGACCCCGCAAACCUGGAAUGGGCCCCUGUGCUUCCAGCAACCCAACCAGGCUUCAUCGGCCCGUUAACUCUCCCACCCCCAUCUCUCUUCUCCUCCAGUCAUCACCAAGACCCCCUCCUGCCCCGUGGCUAUUGGCUGUGAUUGGUUCUUAUCUCACUGAGAAAAGAGAAUCAGACGAAUAUGCCGCAUUCUCACCAUGCCAAAUCUUCCACCAGCCAGCAUCACUCAGGGUGCUGGGUGAUUCCUUCUGGCCUUGA
rnacentral:lncRNA from 1 species